UAUCUAUCUGACAGACGCAGUACUCUAUCAGAUCUCCUUUGAUCUAAUCAAAUCCGAUUUUAUGGGUUCACUAGAUUGUGUCGAUUUUUCUACCUAUCGAACUUUAUAAGUUUCACAUUAAAAGUAUAAAUACCUUCACCAAGAUACUCCUUUUCUAAAAGGAAUGCUAAACAACUUUUAUUCUUUAGCAUGGUAGAAAUUAUAUCCCCUAAAUUUUUUGGGAUAUCCUACAAAAUAAUACAUAUAGGACC
rnacentral:lncRNA from 1 species